AGAGCGAACGCUGGCGGCAUGCUUAACACAUGCAAGUCGCACGGGCAGGGGAAACCCUGUCAGUGGCGGACGGGUGAGUAACGCGUAGGUAUCUAUCCUUGGGUGGGGGACAACGGCUGGAAACGGCUGCUAAUACCGCAUGAUGACCGAGGUCUAAAGGCGCAAGUCGCCUGGGGAGGAGCCUGCGUACGAUUAGCUUGUUGGUGGGGUAAAGGCCUACCAAGGCUACGAUCGUUAGCUGGUCUGAGAGGAUGAUCAGCCACAUUGGGACUGAGACACGGCCCAAACUCCUACGGGAGGCAGCAGUGGGGAAUAUUGGACAAUGGGCGCAAGCCUGAUCCAGCAAUGCCGCGUGUGUGAAGAAGGUCUUCGGAUUGUAAAGCACUUUCGACGGGGACGAUGAUGACGGUACCCGUAGAAGAAGCCCGGCUAACUUCGCGCCAGCAGCCGC
rnacentral:rRNA from 1 species